GACGAACGCUGGCGGCGUGCUUAACACAUGCAAGUCGAACGGAAAGGCCCUGCUUUUGUGGGGUGCUCGAGUGGCGAACGGGUGAGUAACACGUGAGUAACCUGCCCUUGACUUUGGGAUAACUUCAGGAAACUGGGGCUAAUACCGGAUAGGAGCUCCUGCUGCAUGGUGGGGGUUGGAAAGUUUCGGCGGUUGGGGAUGGACUCGCGGCUUAUCAGCUUGUUGGUGGGGUAGUGGCUUACCAAGGCUUUGACGGGUAGCCGGCCUGAGAGGGUGACCGGCCACAUUGGGACUGAGAUACGGCCCAGACGCCUACGGGAGGCAGCAGUGGGGAAUAUUGCACAAUGGGCGGAAGCCUGAUGCAGCAACGCCGCGUGCGGGAUGACGGCCUUCGGGUUGUAAACCGCUUUCGCUCAUGACGAAGCUUUGUGUGACGGUAGUGGGUAAAGAAGCACCGGCUAACUACGUG
rnacentral:rRNA from 1 species